UUAAAUUGAAGAGUUUGAUCAUGGCUCAGAUUGAACGCUGGCGGCAGGCCUAACACAUGCAAGUCGAACGGUAACAGGAAGCAGCUUGCUGCUUCGCUGACGAGUGGCGGACGGGUGAGUAAUGUCUGGGAAACUGCCUGAUGGAGGGGGAUAACUACUGGAAACGGUGGCUAAUACCGCAUAACGUCGCAAGACCAAAGAGGGGGACCUUCGGGCCUCUUGCCAUCAGAUGUGCCCAGAUGGGAUUAGCUUGUUGGUGAGGUAACGGCUCACCAAGGCGACGAUCCCUAGCUGGUCUGAGAGGAUGACCAGCCACACUGGAACUGAGACACGGUCCAGACUCCUACGGGAGGCAGCAGUGGGGAAUAUUGCACAAUGGGCGCAAGCCUGAUGCAGCCAUGCCGCGUGUAUGAAGAAGGCCUUCGGGUUGUAAAGUACUUUCAGCGGGGAGGAAGGUGUUGUGGUUAAUAACCGCAGCAAUUGACGUUACCCGCAGAAGAAGCACCGGCUAACUCCGUGCCAGCAGCCGCGGUAAUACGGAGGGUGCAAGCGUUAAUCGGAAUUACUGGGCGUAAAGCGCACGCAGGCGGUCUGUCAAGUCGGAUGUGAAAUCCCCGGGCUCAACCUGGGAACUGCAUUCGAAACUGGCAGGCUUGAGUCUUGUAGAGGGGGGUAGAAUUCCAGGUGUAGCGGUGAAAUGCGUAGAGAUCUGGAGGAAUACCGGUGGCGAAGGCGGCCCCCUGGACAAAGACUGACGCUCAGGUGCGAAAGCGUGGGGAGCAAACAGGAUUAGAUACCCUGGUAGUCCACGCCGUAAACGAUGUCUACUUGGAGGUUGUGCCCUUGAGGCGUGGCUUCCGGAGCUAACGCGUUAAGUAGACCGCCUGGGGAGUACGGCCGCAAGGUUAAAACUCAAAUGAAUUGACGGGGGCCCGCACAAGCGGUGGAGCAUGUGGUUUAAUUCGAUGCAACGCGAAGAACCUUACCUGGUCUUGACAUCCACAGAAGAAUCCAGAGAUGGAUUUGUGCCUUCGGGAACUGUGAGACAGGUGCUGCAUGGCUGUCGUCAGCUCGUGUUGUGAAAUGUUGGGUUAAGUCCCGCAACGAGCGCAACCCUUAUCCUUUGUUGCCAGCGGUUAGGCCGGGAACUCAAAGGAGACUGCCAGUGAUAAACUGGAGGAAGGUGGGGAUGACGUCAAGUCAUCAUGGCCCUUACGACCAGGGCUACACACGUGCUACAAUGGCGCAUACAAAGAGAAGCGACCUCGCGAGAGCAAGCGGACCUCAUAAAGUGCGUCGUAGUCCGGAUUGGAGUCUGCAACUCGACUCCAUGAAGUCGGAAUCGCUAGUAAUCGUGGAUCAGAAUGCCACGGUGAAUACGUUCCCGGGCCUUGUACACACCGCCCGUCACACCAUGGGAGUGGGUUGCAAAAGAAGUAGGUAGCUUAACCUUCGGGAGGGCGCUUACCACUUUGUGAUUCAUGACUGGGGUGAAGUCGUAACAAGGUAACCGUAGGGGAACCUGCGGUUGGAUCACCUCCUUACCUUAAAGA
rnacentral:rRNA from 1 species